rnacentral:tRNA from 1 species
UUUAUAUAGUUUAAACAAAACACUAGAUUGUGAUUCUAGCCAUAGAGAACCACUCUUAUAAACC